AAAAACCUAGAAGCUUUCUACUCUGACAUUUCCGAACGUCAAGCCAAGUUAAAGAUGUUUCUGAUUUGGAUGAACGAGAGAGCGAGAUAAAGUGAGACACACACACACACAGUAUCUAGAAGGUGGAGUGUGUUUUGACCAAUGAGCUACAGAAACACGCACAAACGCACAGUUUCCUUCUCGUAGUCAGGUCCGUUAGUCGGUUUUAGACUGAAACCCGGUGUAAAUUGCUCUGUGAGCUCCGUUUAGUGCUCGUGUUGCGGCAGCACUAUGGUCUCGAGUGUUCUGUGGAUCUCGGUUGCGACGCUGGCGUUUCUGCGCCUCGCGGAGACAGGUUCUGAGUAUGCGUUGCUGCAUGAAGGAGAAAAAUGUGGAGAAUACGACCAGGGCAGGUGCGAAUCCGGUCUCAUCUGCGUGCCUGACAAUCCCGAGCCCGAGUUAUUCAACGCAGUAGGAGUGUGCACCAGGGUUCCGGGUUGUAACUGCCUCCGAGUUCCAGUGUUUGCCGAGGCAAGGCUGUCGAGGUCGUCAGGUGAUCGAUCCGUGCGGGUGUUGUACACACUGCGCCAAGACAAAGGGGCAGGUGUGCGGCGGGCCGAGCUGGAGAUACGGUAACUGUGAUCCGGAUUUGGUUUGCGCUCUUGUCGUGGGGCUCGAUUCGGCCAGACCUCCACAGACGGGCGUGUGCAAAGAGGAAUCUGGGUGCCUUAAUACGUCGUGUCCUGGGACUCCCACUCUGGCUUGUCCGGCAGACUCCUUCAUUAGUGAGCCCCACACCGAACCCGGUCACUGCUGCCCUGUUGUGCCUGCUAUGUGCACCUGCGACUUCCAGACCUGCACUCCAAAACCCACAUACUGCCCUAACCGCGGACUUCCCCGACUCCUUGUGAAGGGAAACGGCCACCCGGGGACCUGCUGCGACCGCUACGAGUGUGUGAAAGAAGGAGAUUAAUUAGCAUGUGUAAUAUAAUACACACUUUUAUCUUAUUAUCCUUGUGAAACUAACCGUAACCUCACUAACCGUAACCUUAACCUCAGUAACCAAAAGGAAACAUUUCGGCUCUGGUAGAUUUAUUUUUCAUUUCAGGCAAACACCUUGCUGUUUCAUGUAAUGCUCAGAAUGCUUGAUGUGCAAAAAAAUCUGGAAUGUACUCAACAAUAAAAGAAAUAUUUACAGGAAGAAA
ensembl:lncRNA